rnacentral:snRNA from 1 species
UUCCGAGAUGUUGGGCUUGGACU